GCCUACGGGGCGCAGCAGUGAGGAAUAUUGGUCAAUGGGCGGAAGCCUGAACCAGCCAAGUCGCGUGAGGGAAGAAGGCCCUGCGGGUCCCAGACCUCUUUGGACGGGGAGCAAGGCCGCCGACGUGUCGGCGGAAGGAGAGUACCCGUAGAACAAGCAUCGGCUAACUCCGUGCCAGCAGCCGCGGUAAUACGGAGGAUGCGAGCGUUAUCCGGAUUUACUGGGUGUAAAGGGAGCGUAGACGGCAGUGCGAGUCUGAAGUGAAAGGCAAGGGCUCAACCCUUGGACUGCUUUGGAAACUGUGG
rnacentral:rRNA from 1 species